GACGAACGCUGGCGGCAGGCCUAACACAUGCAAGUCGAACGAGCGGCGGACGGGUGAGUAAUGUGUGGGGAUUUGCCCGCUCGAGGGGGAUCACUACUGGAAACGGUGGCUAAUACCGCAAACUUUCGUCUGAACCUAUAUGGGAUUAUCUAGUAGGUGGGGUAAAGGCUCACCUAGGCGACGACCUCUAGCUGGUCUGAGAGGAUGACCAGCCACACUGGGACUGAGACACGGCCCAGACUCCUACGGGAGGCAGCAGUGGGGAAUAUUGCAAAAUGGGCGCAAGCCUGAGGCAGCCAUGCCGCGUGUAUGAAGAAGGCCUUAGGGUUGUAAAGUACGUUCAGCGGGGAGGCGUUACCGGCAGAAGAAGCACCGGCUAACUCCGUGCCAGCAGCCGCGGUAAUAC
rnacentral:rRNA from 1 species